AUUGAACGCUGGCGGCAGGCCUAACACAUGCAAGUCGAACGAGCGGCGGACGGGUGAGUAAUGUCUGGGAAACUGCCUGAUGGAGGGGGAUAACUACUGGAAACGGUAGCUAAUACCGCAUACCAUCAGAUGUGCCCAGUGGGGAUUAGCUAGUAGGUGGGGUAACGGCUCACCUAGGCGACGAUCCCUAGCUGGUCUGAGAGGAUGACCCGCCACAUGGGAACUGAGACACGGUCCAGACUCCUACGGGAGGCAGCAGUGGGGAAUAUUGCACAAUGGACGCAAGCCUGAUGCAGCCAUGCCGCGUGUGUGAAGAAGGCCUUCGGGUUGUAAAGCACUUUCAGCGGGGAGGCGUUACCCGCAGAAGAAGCACCGGCUAACUCCGUGCCAGCAGCCGCGGUAAUUC
rnacentral:rRNA from 1 species